rnacentral:rRNA from 1 species
UACGUAGGCGGAAUAUUAAGUCAGUGGUGAAAUCCUGCAGCUUAACUGUAGAAUUGCCAUUGAUACUGAUCUUCUUGAAUUUAGUUGAGGUGGGCGGAAUGUGUAAUGUAGCGGUGAAAUGCUUAGAUAUUACACAGAACACCGAUUGCGAAGGCAGCUCACUAAACUAACAUUGACGCUAAGGUACGAAAGCGUGGGGAGCGAACAGGAUUAGAUACCCUGGUAGUC